CAUUAUGUACAUUAUUUUUGCUACUGCUGGCCUUGAAUUGGCACUGAUUUGGGCCACCUUGUUGAAUGAUUCGUGCACGGAUGUGUUUCGUUGGUCUUUUGCGGCAUGUGGGGAGCGUAAACUGGAAGAACGUGUGAAGCAGGCAUCGCUGCUGCGCUGGACGACGUUGUGCGAGGCCAUGGCCAUGGACGAUGUGCUGUUGGAGAACGACGCAGGACUAAGAUAGUCGAUGUGAACGACCACUGGAAUUCCAAUUGGUUAUGGAUUCGUAUGAUGCAGCCUACAUGUUCCCAUCACCCAGUAAAAUAUAGACAUCAAUUAUUGCAUCUGGGUUUAUAUUAUGCAUCCCCGCUGCCAGUUUCAUUGUUAAGUAGGAACGAAGAUUACAUUUAUAAAUGAUAUAUGUAUGUAAUUGUGUGCUGCAUUCUUGCUGCUUCCAGUAGAUGUACUAUCUUUUCAGCGUUGACUUUUAAAGCGUUUUUGCUGACAAGAAGCUUAUCAGUCGUAAUGUUCAGCACCUACAUUACCUGAUGGUCAUGUAGUGCUAGGGAAAUAGAUAUUAAUGUGGGAAAUAGAUAUACAAUAUGUUAUAAAGGAUAAGACAAGUAAUUAUUGGGUGUGAAAGAUCAGGAUGGAAGCAUUUUUUUUGCUAUCAUAUGAAUUACUGAAUACAAUCUCGUAUGCAACCCCUCAAAAUUAGAUUUAAUUCAUGCUCGUACACCAUCACUUAAGUAGGAAAAGAGAAGUAUUUCUAAGGCUACUCUAUAUCUUAUUUUUCUUUCACAGCAUAUAUAUUAUUAGUUAUAUGUUUGCCUGGGUAGGAAAGUAACAAUCAAUCCCUCAAAAUAAAAGGAAACUAAUGAUCAAGACCUUAGCUGGCUGACAGUAACUCCAUUCAUUCUCUUCCAAUUAUUAUUCUUUUAGUUAUUUUUCUAUUCUCAUGGGUAGGUUUCUUCUGUGUUGUUUUGCUUUAGUUUUGUAGUUGUCACUCCCAUGUAUUUCUUCGACGAGGAGGCGUGGACACGAGGCCUAACUAUCCGGUAUAAAUUGGUUUUCCCACUGUCGCCGUGAGAUUGGAUUGUUGUUCCGUUUUCUGCACAUGAUUGUUCCACUUGUGAUUUAUCAUAUAUGAAUUGCUACUUGACAUCCUUUUGAUCCAGCGUGAUUUCUUGCUUCUUCUCAUCUUGUUGACUAAUGGUUGUGUUUGUUCUCUCGCCAAACGCCGGGACUUUGAGUUGCCUGCCAUGGUGGAGCUCGGGAUGUUGGCAGAUCUGACCGGACUGUGCCAUUUGGAGUAACAGUCUACAAUGCCACAACACUUUGUUGGACCUAUUUUUGACGUUUCUUCUGCCAGGUAUCUCUAUGAUUUAAGUAGAUAGAAGUUAUUAAUUACACGUUCAUUGUGGUAGACCGAUUGUCUCUCUUCUACAAUUGGAAAUCUGUUAUGUUCUGAUGAGAUGCUAUCGUAUGACUAAUAUGUAACUGGUGAUGUUUUAUGUCUCAUAGUUAAACUUUGUUUCAUAUUUCGAAUUGGUUAUUGAACAUUUUUGUUUCCAUGACAGUAGAUCUAUAUCGGGAUUUAUAGCAUAUGCUCUAUGUGCAGUUGAUGAGUCUUUCAGGGAUCCAAAUUGUCUGCCUUCGGAAAAUCGGAAGAAUGAAAGAAUGGGAUUUAUAGCAUAUAUGCUCUAUGUGCAGCUGAUGAAGCUUUGAGAGAUGAAAAUUGGUUGCCUUCGGAAAAUAAGAAGAAGGAAAGAACGGGUGUUUCAAUUGGUGGGGGAAUCGGAAGCAUCUCAGACAUUUUAAAUGCAUGACUGCUGAUUGCUGAAAAUGAAAUAUGCAGUUAUGGAUCCAUUCUAUAGUUGGAAUAUGAGACUCCAUAUGUGUGUGUAUGUUUAUUCUUGCUUGAAUCUCGUGCUGAAGGUGUGAACAGCAAUUUGCAACGUCGUGGCAAGGUUCAGUUCGGCAAGGAGACCAAUGAGGCAGCUACUUGUACAAUGUCCAAGCCGAUUGUACUCUGACCUGUCAAACAAGAAGACUCGAUGCAACUAGCUGCUGAAAAGGAGAUGAAUGUGGUCCUGUUGACAACCAAGACAAAGAAGCAGGAGACCAAGCCUUCUGCGUUCCCCAUUGGCAUGCACAAGGAGUUCCGCAAGAUGGACAAUGUUGUCCAGAAUUAGGUCACUAGCAGCUACUACAUGACCAACUUGACCAAGCCCACUCUUCCAAGACUAUCAAUUUACCGCAACCUCCAAGUUACGGCGACGCAUGGGCGGGGCAGCCACCCCCUAGAUCCCGUUAGCACAAUGUCAUAAAAAUAUAUUUAUACUGAUUGUUGCGCAAAGUAGAAGGCAAUUGUUUGUAGUUAUUAGUUUAUUUCCUCUAUAUACAAUGACACGGUUUA